UACGUAGGGUGCGAGCGUUGUCCGGAAUUAUUGGGCGUAAAGCGCUCGCAGGCGGUCCGAUGCGUCGUGCGUGAAAGCCCCCGGCUCAACUGGGGAGGGUCGUGCGAUACGGGCAGGCUUGAGUUCGGUAGGGGAGACUGGAAUUCCUGGUGUAGCGGUGAAAUGCGCAGAUAUCAGGAAGAACACCUAUGGCGAAAGCAGCUCUCUGGGACGGUACUGACGCUGAGACGCGAAAGCGUGGGGAGCGAACAGG
rnacentral:rRNA from 1 species